UCGAGAAAAAGAAUGAAAUAGGUACUAAAGCACGUAGUGUACAAAAUAAUGAAUAUUUUUUUAUCCGAAAAUGAAAGCAGCGCCUUCCGAAGAAACAAAGCGGCGAAGGCGACAGCGAAGACGAUUUUACAUCGGAAUGAAGUAUUGAAGAAAAAUGUACAUGAAAGUUUCUAAUGAGAGUAUGAGGAUCUAAAUAAAAAUGACAAAAUAACAGGAAAAUAGGAAAAUUAUAUUUAUCACUCCCCAGACCCACUCAUUAUUCUACAUUAUGUUAUUUUCUACAAUAAAUUCUCCAACCUAA